UACGUAGGUGGCAAGCGUUGUCCGGAUUUACUGGGCGUAAAGAGCGCGCAGGCGGUCGUUCAAGUCGCGUGUGAAAGCCCCCGGCUCAGCUGGGGAGGGUCACGCGAUACUGAUCGACUCGAAGGCAGGAGAGGGAAGUGGAAUUCCCGGUGUAGUGGUGAAAUUCGUAGAUAUUCGCAAGAACACCAGUGGCGAAGGCGGCUCACUGGCCCGGUACUGACGCUGAGGUGCGAAAGCGUGGGGAGCAAACAGG
rnacentral:rRNA from 1 species